rnacentral:rRNA from 1 species
AGAGUUUGAUCAUGGCUCAGGAUGAACGCUGGCGGCGUGCCUAACACAUGCAAGUCGAGCGAUUUACUUCGGUAAAGAGCGGCGGACGGGUGAGUAACGCGUGGGUAACCUGCCCUAUACACACGGAUAACAUACCGAAAGGUAUGCUAAUACGAGAUAAUAUAAGAGAUUCACAUGGAUUUCUUAUCAAAGCUGAGGCGGUAUAGGAUGGACCCGCGUCUGAUUAGCUAGUUGGUAAGGUAACGGCUUACCAAGGCGACGAUCAGUAGCCGACCUGAGAGGGUGAUCGGCCACAUUGGAACUGAGACACGGUCCAAACUCCUACGGGAGGCAGCAGUGGGGAAUAUUGCACAAUGGGCGAAAGCCUGAUGCAGCAACGCCGCGUGAGUGAUGAAGGCCUUCGGGUCGUAAAACUCUGUCCUCAAGGAAGAUAAUGACGGUACUUGAGGAGGAAGCCCCGGCUAACUACGUGCCAGCAGCCGCGGUAAUACGUAGGGGGCUAGCGUUAUCCGGAUUUACUGGGCGUAAAGGGUGCGUAGGUGGUCUCUUAAGUCAGGAGUGAAAGGCUACGGCUUAACCGUAGUAAGCUCUUGAAACUGGGAGACUUGAGUGCAGGAGAGGAAAGUGGAAUUCCUAGUGUAGCGGUGAAAUGCGUAGAUAUUAGGAGGAACACCAGUAGCGAAGGCGGCUUUCUGGACUGUAACUGACACUGAGGCACGAAAGCGUGGGGAGCAAACAGGAUUAGAUACCCUGGUAGUCCACGCCGUAAACGAUGAGUACUAGGUGUCGGGGGUUACCCCCCUCGGUGCCGCAGCUAACGCAUUAAGUACUCCGCCUGGGGAGUACGCUCGCAAGAGUGAAACUCAAAUGAAUUGACGG